UGGCAAUUUGACUUCAUGAAGCUUCAACAUUGAAUCAUUAACAUCAAUCAGCAUAAUUCUGGGACAAUGGUCUGCAUGGAUAUUUUAUUGACCAGAAUGGUGGAGUGUGGUGAUGGGAUUUAUUGUUUGAAAAUGGGUUCUACAAAGGGCGUUCUACUGUGGACUGUGUAACAACCCACCGCAAGUUUAUGGUGAAUAUUUUUCUACAUAUG